GGGUAGCAAUACCUGAGUAAAGUGGCGCACGGGUGUGUAACACGUGACUAACCUACCCUGGAGUGGGGGAUAACUGAGGGAAACCUUAGCUAAUACCGCAUAAUACCUACGGGUCAAAGGAGCAAUUCGCUUCAGGAGGGGGUCGCGGCCGAUUAGUUAGUUGGCGGGGUAAUGGCCCACCAAGACAGUGAUCGGUAUCCGGCCUGAGAGGGCGCACGGACACACUGGAACUGAAACACGGUCCAGACUCCUACGGGAGGCAGCAGUGGGGAAUUUUGCGCAAUGGGGGAAACCCUGACGCAGCAACGCCGCGUGGAGGAUGAAGUCCUUCGGGACGUAAACUCCUUUCGAUCGGGACGAUUAUGACGGUACCGGAAGAAGAAGCCCCGGCUAACUCCGUGCCAGCAGCCGCGGUAAUACGGGGGGGGCAAGCGUUGUUCGGAAUUACUGGGCGUAAAGGGCUCGUAGGUGGCCAACUAAGUCAUACGUGAAAUCCCUCGGCUUAACCGGGGAACUGCGUCUGAUACUGGAUGGCUUGAGGUUGGGAGAGGGAUGCGGAAUUCCAGGUGUAGCGGUGAAAUGCGUAGAUAUCUGGAGGAACACCGGUGGCGAAGGCGGCAUCCUGGACCAAUUCUGACACUGAGGAGCGAAAGCCAGGGGAGCAAACGGGAUUAGAUACCCCGGUAGUCCUGGCCCUAAACGAUGAAUGCUUGGUGUGGC
rnacentral:rRNA from 1 species